rnacentral:rRNA from 1 species
CCUAAAGGCAUAAUGAAAGUAAAAGUCGUCCUUGCGUCGACCGAGGGAAGAUGGGUUACGUUACGAUGUAAUUUCGCAUUCCCGGGGCGUCUCAUUCUCAUUAUGAGAAGAGGCGCACCCAGAGCGUACACGUUGGGACCCGAAAGAUGGUGAACUAUGCCUGGUCAGGACGAAGUCAGGGGAAACCCUGAUGGAGGUCCGUAGCGAUUCUGACGUGCAAAUCGAUCGUCGGAACUGGGUAUAGGGGCGAAAGACUAAUCGAACCAUCUAGUAGCUGGUUCCCUCCGAAGUUUCCCUCAGGAUAGCUGGCACUUAAGAACUUUUUAACGAGUCUCAUCUGGUAAAGCGAAUGAUUAGAGGCCUUGGGGCCGAAACGACCUCAACCUAUUCUCAAACUUUAAAUGGGUGAGAUCUCUGGCUUGCUUAAAUAAUAUUAUGGAUGAAGCCAUGAGA